GCGGACGUGGCGAAAUUGGUAGACGCGCAGGCAUGAGGAGCCUGUGGCCUAAAAACCUUGGAGGUUCGAUUCCUCUCGUCCGCACC
rnacentral:tRNA from 1 species